UCAAGUAGAAAAGGGCGCAUGGUGAAUGCCUAGGCACUAGAAGCCGAUGAAGGACGUGACGAACCACGAAAGGCUUCGGGGAGCAGUAAGUAAGCAAUGAUCCGGAGAUAUCCGAAUGGGGGAACCCAAUACCGGGAGGUAUUAUCAAGAGCUGUUAAGGCUGUUGAAGGAAGACGCAGUGAACUGAAACAUCUAAGUAGCUGCAGGAAGAGAAAGAAAAAUCGAUUUCCCAAGUAGCGGCGAGCGAACAGGAAAGAGCCCAAACCAGCUGGCUUGCCAGUUGGGGUAGUAGGACUGCAGGAAAGCACUUGAAGCGAUAGCAGAAUUAUCUGGAAAGAUAAGCCAGAGAGGGUGAGAGCCCCGUAAGCGAAAUUGCAGAGAGACUUAGCAGGAUCCUGAGUAGGUCGGGACACGAGGAAUCCCGAUUGAAACCGCGAGGACCAUCUCGCAAGGCUAAAUACUAACUAGUGACCGAUAGUGAACCAGUACCGUGAGGGAAAGGUGAAAAGAACCCCGGAAGGGGAGUGAAAGAGAACCUGAAACCGUGUGCCUACAAGUAGUCAAAGCACAUUAAAGUGUAAUGGCGUGCCUUUUGUAGAAUGAACCGGCGAGUUACGUUAUGGUGCAAGGUUAAGUCAGAAAAGACGGAGCCGGAGCGAAAGCGAGUCUGAAGAGGGCGAGAGAGUAUCAUGACGUAGACCCGAAACCAAGUGACCUACCCAUGACCAGGUUGAAGGCGUGGUAAAACACGCUGGAGGACCGAACCCACGUGAGUUAAAAAUCGCGGGGAUGAGUUGUGGGUAGCGGUGAAAUUCCAAACGAACUUGGAGAUAGCUGGUUCUCUCCGAAAUAGCUUUAGGGCUAGCCUCGUGUGAAUGAUAAUGGAGGUAGAGCGCUGUUUGGACUAGGGGCCCGUCAGGGGUUACUGAAUCCAGAUAAACUCCGAAUGCCAGAUAUCAAUGCACGGGAGUCAGACUGCGAGUGAUAAGAUCCGUAGUCGAAAGGGAAACAGCCCAGAUCACCAGUUAAGGUCCCCAAAUCUAUGCUAAGUGGAAAAGGAUGUGGAGUUGCGUAGACAACUAGGAUGUUGGCUUAGAAGCAGCCACCAUUUAAAGAGUGCGUAAUAGCUCACUAGUCGAGUGACGCUGCGCCGAAAAUGUACCGGGGCUAAGCAUAGUACCGAAACUGUGGAUGCAUAUCAAAGGAUAUGCGUGGUAGGAGAGCGUUCUAAGUGCGGAGAAGUUAGAUCGAGAGGACUAAUGGAGCGCUUAGAAGUGAGAAUGCCGGUAUGAGUAGCGAAAGAUAGGUGAGAAUCCUAUCCGCCGAAAGACUAAGGUUUCCUGGGGCAGGCUCGUCCGCCCAGGGUAAGUCGGGACCUAAGGUAAGGCCGAGAGGCGUAGCCGAUGGACAACAGGUAGAGAUUCCUGUACUGAAAUUGUUCGAUAUGAGCAAAGGAGGGACGCAGGAGGCUAAUGACGCAUGUUGCUGGAAAUACAUGUGCAAGCAGUAAGAAGAAAGAUGAGUCAAAUGCUUGUCUAAAGAAAUCAAGCUGUGAUGCGGAGCGAAAUUAAAGUAGCGAAGGUCAUGAUGUCACACUGCCAAGAAAAGCUUCUAGCCAGAGCAAUUUUACCCGUACCGCAAACCGACACAGGUAGUCGAGUGGAGAACACUCAGGUGAGCGAGAGAACUCUCGUUAAGGAACUCGGCAAAAUGACCCCGUAACUUCGGGAGAAGGGGUGCUGAUGGUAAAAGAUCAGCCGCAGUGAAUAGGCCCAAACAACUGUUUAUCAAAAACACAGGUAUCUGCAAAAUCGUAAGAUGACGUAUAGGUGCUGACACCUGCCCGGUGCUGGAAGGUUAAGAGGAGAGCUUAGCGCAAGCGAAGGUUUGAAUUGAAGCCCCAGUAAACGGCGGCCGUAACUAUAACGGUCCUAAGGUAGCGAAAUUCCUUGUCGGGUAAGUUCCG
rnacentral:rRNA from 1 species